GAUAAGCUUCACAGACAGCAGCACCCCACCAGGCUUAGCCCAGGGUGCUGAGCCACACCAGGACCGCAGCCGUUUCUCUGCGCCUCCAAACCCUGCCUGCAACAGAAAGUGCCCUCCCAGAGUCGCAGCCACCUCAGCUCUCUGGCAGGACAGUGCUCCGGGAAGGAACAGAGGCUGUCUGUAAAUUGCAGUUUAAAACCAUAAUAUCCCUGCAUUGAACUGUCGUCAGAUGGUUGCAGUUUUCUAAUCUGUAUUUUGUCUGAAGGAAAUGAGAAGCAGAAUUUAUCCUUCCUCCCCUGUUAAUUUUAAUCCUUUUGCAUGGAGCUGGAUUCAUGCUGCAGGCAGGGCAUUAAACCUGAAACAAGGUGGAUCCAAAUGGAAAAAAAUGUAGAUGAUUACUGGCCAUCUGCCAAAAAGACGCUUGGGGACGUGAAAAUUCUGGAAUCACUGAAGGUUCAUUUUGAUCAAAUAUUCAUAUUCUGAGCCAUGUGUCAACAAUUUUACUGUUUAAAGACAAGAAGGUUGUGGAGGGGAAUACUGACACCAUCCUUCACAGGGGAGUUUACUUUCAGACUUCUUACAUGAAGGAGAAUAUGUUGUUAAAGAAUGGAGCAAACAUUAAGAUGUGUUCAAAUGAAGGUGCAAAAGCACUAGAAACAGGAGUUGCUUCCCUUAGGGAAAGGGGGCAAGUGGGAAACAGAGAGGUCAUAGUAACACACUCAGUUUUUAAGUUAAGAUUAACCAUAUGUAUGAACAUUUGGGAAAUGCUUCAUGUAUUUUUAUUUCCACAGAUUCAUUGUACUGAUACCAUUAGACAGAACUAUCUUUUUUAACUGAAAAAGCUGCAGUCCUCCAGGCUCACAUGUAGAGGUGGAGUCCUAGAUUUGGAGGCCUCAAUAUAUAGACUAGCCAACACCUUCUCAUUGCAUUCAUUCUGUGAUACUUUAUUUCUCUGCUACUGAAAGGCAACUCUUUCUUGGAAAAAUUGCCUUCUCCAUCACGUUUGGUCCACUUAUUGCAGAAUAGCUUAAUAAGAUCUUUCUGUGAUCAGCAACGAGAUUUUUCCAGCAGAAUAUUUUUCUAUUCCUGAGCAUUUCACAAACCGCCUCUGAUUUUCUCAGGCAGAUUUGAUAAGCUAUGUUAUGCAAAUAUACAUCAACUCACGGGCUGUGCACGAAGUCCUUGUGUGAUUUGUCUUCAUUACUGCUCCAGUUUGGUUGCACAUCUUGGUCACAGGAACCACACAUGACAGACUGUUUCUUCCUAGUAAGCUGAGCCUAAAUGAGAUAAACCAGGGAAGUUCUGUAAACCAAUUAAAUGGUUUUGAGGGCUGUUCCACCAAUGGAAGAUUGAUUUGUGCUCCACCUAUUUUAUCCUUGCUUCCUUAUCACUUGCAUUUCCUCAACAAAUAUGCCAUGAAUAUAAAAAUGUGAAACAAUUAAAAUUAGCCAUAAGUGAAAGAAUUCCUACUGCAGGGAGACACAUUUGUACUUAGCAAAUUGGUGUCCAAAUGCUUUUUACUUUGUUAGGGGCAGUGAGAGGGGAAUGAAGACAAGGUCAGACA